GGGUAUAUAGCUCAGUGGAAGAGUGUGCUUAGCAGGCAUGAGGUCCUGGGUUCAAUCCCCAAUACUUCCA
rnacentral:tRNA from 1 species